rnacentral:tRNA from 1 species
GGCUGUAGCUCAGUGGGUAAAGCACUUGCUUUGCAUGUGUGAGGUACUGGGUUCAAUCCUCAGCACCA